AAAUUAGGAUAUGAUUUUUAUUCAGGCUAUUGCAAUAGGGGGACAUUCGUUAAUAAGAAAUACCUCAAAGAAAAGGAAUGAGCCUGGCUUUUAUGGAGACAAAGAGAGUCUUAAGGGAGCAUGAGGAAGGAUGGAGGUGGGUCUUACUUCAGAAUAUGCAAAACCUGCAUGGCCCUUGGCAAUUAGCCAGUUCCUACAACCCAAAAGGGCAGAAGAUUUCUUAACAUCUCUACUUUUUAGAGUAUAAGACUUAGAUUAAGUUCCACAUUGUCAGUCCUCCCUUUUGUUGAAAAUGAACAUCAUUGCCACUGUUGGGACUCAGAAAACAAUACCCCAAAAUGAAAGCCUCCAAAGUAGCCUCAGAAGCAAAGUCUCUUUCUGACCUUCUUCUGCGCCCCCCGCCCUGUCUCUCACCCCUCAUUCUCCCCUGAGAUAAACCAUAGAAACUGUGAUCCCUCUUCCCCAAGAUGGGUCAUAGAAACAAGAACUCCUUUUCCCCAAAGCCAGCCAUAAAACCUAGAAAUAUUAUUCUAACCUUCCACCAUUCUUCUGUGUAACACUUAGCCAUAAAGAAACUAAGACCCCCAUCCCAGAGGGGUCCUACCCCAUACCUGGGAGGAAGGAAUGCUGCACGGAGAGGCCAAGAAGAAGCUGAACAGCCAGGCCUUGGUAGGUUUCCCCACGCAAUCUAUUUCCAUUAGAUCAUACCCUUUUUUGUCCAAUCACAUUUCCACAUGACCGUCCCUGCUUCAUCAAACCUAAGCAUAAAAUUAGAUAGCUUCUCCUGUAUCUCUGGGUCUUCAUUCUGAAGGCUCAACUGUCAUGUAAAACUAUGAUCAAAGAAGCUGUUCAUUGUUUGAAGCAAUAAGGUGCAAAUGAAACCUGUCUUUACAUGCACAAUGGGGCAUAUGCUUCCAUAAAUGCCUGAUUGUGUGUGCAAAUGAGUGUUUUACACACCCAGUUACUAUAUUUAUAUUUUUGCUAUAUUUAUAUUUUUAGGGUCAGUGUAAGUGCUUUCAUUUUUUAAAAUGAAAUUGUUUUAAAAAAAACUGGUCGGGCGCGUUGGCUCACCCUGUAAUCCCAGCACUUUGGGAGGCCGAGGCGGGCGGAUCACGAGGUCAGGAGAUCGAGACCAUCCUGGCUAACACGGUGAAACCCCAUCUCUACUAAAAAAAAAAAAAAAACUAGCCGGGCGAGGUGACGGGCGCCUGUAGUCCCAGGUACUCUGGAGGCUCAGGGAGGAGAAUGACGUGAACCUGGGAGGCGGAGCUUGCAGUGAGCUGAGAUCCGGCCACUGCACUCCAGCCUGGGCGACAGCGCGAGACUCCGUCUCAAACAAAAAACUAUGAUCAAAUACACUUGUUAUUUUUUUUCCGGUUAACCUGUCUUUUGUUAUAGGGUGUUGGCCAUGAUCCUUAUGAUGGGGAGGAAAGGAAUCACCAAUUUUCUGCUCCCUCCCACUGAACAACUUAGAGAUGACCUAAGGCCUCCUUACCUGUGUGAAGUAACUGGGAAUUGGAAGGUGAGGUCCAGUUAUAUCCAAGUGUUGGCAUCAAACUGUGAAACACAAAAUGCACUGGACAAUUAAGGAUAUGAUUUUAUUCAUGCCGUUGCAAUAGGGAGAACAUUUAUUAAUGAAGAAUAACUCAAAGGAAAGGAAGGGGUCCUGGUCUCCCAUGAUUCCUCAUGGAAGCCUUGGGGAAGGAUGAAGGUGGGUCUUAUCACAGAAUAUUCCAGGGCUGGGUUGUCCUUUGUGGGGAUGGUUGUUUCUUUUGAAACAUAAAAGGGUAGGAGAUUUCUUUCUCUCUCUCUCUCUUUUUUUUUUUUCUUUAAGAGACAGGGUCUCACUCUGUCUCCCCAGCUGGAGUGCAGUGGUGUAAUCAUGGCUCACUGCAUGCAACCUCAGCCUCCUGGGCACAAGUGAUCUAUCUCAGCCUCUCAAGUAGCUGACACUACAGAACAACAGGUGCACCACCACGACAAGCUAAUUUUGUUGUUGUUGUUGUGGAGAUGGGGUCUACCUGUGUUGCCUAGGCUGAUCUCAAGCUCCUAGGCUCAAGUCAUCCUCCUGCCUUGGCCUCCCAUAGUACUGGUGUUACAGACAAGAGCCACUGUAUUUGGCCCAGUAGGGGAUUUCUUAAGCAUCACUGCUUUUAGGGAACAAAAGCCUUACAGAAAGUUUAACAGUGUCAAAAUUCUUUUAAGAGGUCAAAGCAAAUUUGAAAAAAAAAAAAAAAAAAAA
rnacentral:lncRNA from 1 species